rnacentral:lncRNA from 1 species
AUAAAUGUAUUCUCCUCUUUCAUUCUAACUUCAUGAAUCUUAUUGACUUCACCAACUGUUAUUACUCAACCAGCACCUGUCGAGAUAACGCCUACCCAAUUCAGUAAAGACGUCCACAGUGUGCAAACUUCAUUACCAGAAUUACCCCAGCUCUCAUGUUUAUUCACUCGGGCCAAGCAACUAUUAUCUCACACUGACCCUGAAUAACUAUCCAAACCCGAAAGCUCUCACUUAGUUUUAAACGCGAUUAUUACCAAUAGCACUUUUUGUCACAUGGUGAUUUACAGAGUUCUCAAUGUAACAUAUGCACUCAGAUCCUAAUACCAAUCAAUUCUUUAAAUAUCUACCCAUAUUUCUCACCAUGCUGCUAAUCCUAGUCACCACCAACCAUCCAGUUCAACUUGUAUCAGAUGGGGAGGAGUAGGUAUUAUAUCAUUUCCACCACCUGGCUGAUGGAGCAGAGGCUAACGCAGCAGCCCUGCAAGCAGCUUCUACGACCUCAUGGGAGAAUCGGUUUCAUUGCAGCAUGAUUUCCACUGUGCUCCAACACGGGAGAAUUUCAACACAUAUUCAUUCUCAACCCUAACGCUGAUAUUCUCCCACGAAUUGGGCCCAUGACCACCAUCAGCCAUGGAAGACAUUCAAAAAAAUGAGGGCCUAUUGAAAGCCUUACCCUUGACCUCGUCCUCACACGUCACCGGCAGCCUUGCGCGCAUGUGUGCACCUUUCCUCGGGGGCACCUGCUCCAAAGACCUGAUCGUCAAAACCACAAACACACAUAUACCCACACCUGCGCCCUCCUGAUUCUGCCCCUCGCCUCCUCCCUCACAGCUGCCUUCACACUCGAAUGCUGUCUUCCCGCUCUUAGAGCAACCUGGCUUCACAACCUGGUUGUGUCAUCAAGGAAAGUGACCCCUUCUAAUCAACUCAGUUGGUGGUGCCUCUGCCGGAUUCUUCACCUCCACCAUCAUGACUCCCAUCUCUCUGCCCCACAUAACCACACCCUCAGACCCACAAUUCACAGCUCUUGCUGUGGCUUCUCAGCAUUUACGGUGGCAAUAGAAUGCAACUUCAUCAUACGUCAUCUCAGAUUUGAACCCCGCUUACACCCACAUAAAUUUCCAACCUAUUAGAAUAUUUCCCAAUUCCAAUUCACCUGGCCCGACACCACACUUGAAUCUAACUGCCGGUCUAAACACAGCAUCCCUCCAGCUAGACCUGAUCUGAAUAGAACAACAAUACCAACAAAUGCAACGCAGCUCCAAACACUAACCUCAACAACUGUAUCCAACCAAAAAGGCCUAAUCAAACUUUACUUUCUCUCUUUCCUCACCCCACUUUCCUAGCCACACUCCUAAUCAAUACCCUUGAGUAA